rnacentral:rRNA from 1 species
AACGAACGCUGGCGGCAUGCCUAACACAUGCAAGUCGAACGAGACCUUCGGGUCUAGUGGCGCACGGGUGCGUAACGCGUGGGAACCUGCCCUUAGGUUCGGAAUAACUCCCCGAGAGGGGUGCUAAUACCGGAUAAUGUCUUCGGACCAAAGAUUUAUCGCCUUUGGAUGGGCCCGCGUUGGAUUAGCUAGUUGGUAGGGUAAAAGCCUACCAAGGCGACGAUCCAUAGCUGGUCUGAGAGGAUGAUCAGCCACACUGGGACUGAGACACGGCCCAGACUGCUACGGGAGGCAGCAGUGGGGAAUAUUGGACAAUGGGCGAAAGCCUGAUCCAGCAAUGCCGCGUGAGUGAUGAAGGCCUUAGGGUUGUAAAGCUCUUUUACCCGGGAUGAUAAUGACAGUACCGGGAGAAUAAGCUCCGGCUAACUCCGUG